UGGUUGUCGUCAGCUCGUGUCGUGAGAUGUGGGUUAAGUCCCGCAACGAGCGCAACCCUCGACCUUAGUUGCCAGCAUUCAGUUGGGCACUCUAAGGUGACUGCCGGCUAAAAGUCGGAGGAAGGUGGGGAUGACGUCAAAUCAUCAUGCCCCUUAUGACCUGGGCUACACACGUGCUACAAUGGGCGGUACAAAGGGUCGCGAACCCGCGAGGGGGAGCCAAUCCCAAAAAGCCGCUCUCAGUUCGGAUUGCAGGCUGCAACUCGCCUGCAUGAAGUCGGAAUCGCUAGUAAUCGCAGGUCAGCAUACUGCGGUGAAUACGUUCCCGGGGCUU
rnacentral:rRNA from 1 species